AGUAGGAUGGCUGAGUUAGGCGAUAAAUUGUAAAUUUAUUUACGGAAUUAUUAUUUCUUCUACUA
rnacentral:tRNA from 1 species